rnacentral:rRNA from 1 species
GAUGAACGCUGGCGGCGUGCUUAACACAUGCAAGUCGAACGAUAAAGCCCAGCUUGCUGGGUGGAUUAGUGGCGAACGGGUGAGUAACACGUGAGUAACCUGCCCUUGACUCUGGGAUAAGCCCGGGAAACUGGGUCUAAUACCGGAUAGGAGCGCCUGUCGCAUGACGGGUGUUGGAAAGAUUUUUCGGUCAUGGAUGGACUCGCGGCCUAUCAGCUUGUUGGUGAGGUAAUGGCUCACCAAGGCGACGACGGGUAGCCGGCCUGAGAGGGUGACCGGCCACACUGGGACUGAGACACGGCCCAGACUCCUACGGGAGGCAGCAGUGGGGAAUAUUGCACAAUGGGCGGAAGCCUGAUGCAGCGACGCCGCGUGAGGGAUGACGGCCUUCGGGUUGUAAACCUCUUUUCAGUAGGGAAGAAAGCGAAAAGUGAACGGUACCUGCAGAAAGAAGCCC